rnacentral:rRNA from 1 species
UACAGAGGGGGCAAGCGUUGUUCGGAAUUACUGGGCGUAAAGGGCGCGUAGGUGGCCUUCUAAGUUGAACGUGAAAUCCCUGGGCUCAACCCAGGAACUGCGUCCGAGACUGGGAGGCUUGAAUCCGGGAGAGGGAUGCGGAAUUCCAGGUGUAGCGGUGAAAUGCGUAGAUAUCUGGAGGAACACCGGUGGCGAAGGCGGCAUCCUGGACCGGUACUGACACUGAGGCGCGAAAGCCAGGGGAGCAAACGGG